ACCAAUCACAGCAAAUGUUAACCGUAAAGUACUCAGUCUCACGUAACCCAGACAGCUCAGUGCUCUGUGAAGCAAAAGGAACAAAAUUCCUCAAGUUCAUUGAUUAUAACUAGAACCUGUUUAUCACUGAAAAGAAGUACCCGUCUGGGGUUCUUCCUAUCAGCACGGGAGGCAGAGACAAGUUUUCUAAUGAACCAUUCCGUACAAGCACUUUGAAACUACCCAUUAGCCAACAGACUUCACCUGCAACAGACCUGGAACUUUCCAGCUGGAGACACAUGCUGCUAACUGAUGUGGAGCAAGAUGAAAGGGGUGGGUGCCAGGGAGACAUUUUGUGGUAUGCACCAAGUGCUCAUGCGCCUUUCAAAUCCAGAAAGCUUCAGGAGGCCCCAGCUAGCCCUCAGCACAAAGCUUCCCCAUGAUGACCAUGGCUGCAACCCAAGCUCAGCUGCCCCAUGGCAGGUGCUGCUCACAGGAGACAGGGUCCAGCUGUCCGUCACAGCCUGUGAUGCCAAACACGGGGAUCAGCACCACAUAUUGAUGUUAUGAAUGAAUUAACCAAGGAACAUAAUGCAUCACUGCCAACUUAGAGCUAAUCCUUGAAGUUUAUUGCUAUUACUUCUUAACAUAUUCCAGUUGGAUCACAAACCAAGACAUGCAAAAAAAAAAAAAGAAAAAAAAAGAUAUCACUGAAGGAGCUGGAUUUUUUGUCAAGAAAGAGUUUCAUGAUUCCUUUGCUCUAGGGAAAUUUAAAUGAAGAAACAUUCAGUUUGGAGAUUUGCCUAUUCUACUUGGAAAAAGUUUUUUAAAAAAAUGGUUGAAGAAAUCAAGAAAACUGUGAAAAGAAAAAAUACCAUUUUUAAAGUAAAAAAUCAUGUUUAUAAUUUUUUCCACCAUGGGAUGUUUUGACAAUUGACUGCCCGCCCACAUUUUCUUCUGGAAGUUACAACCUGUUGAUCAGAACUUGCUGGCAUUCUGUUGUGCAUGUGUGCUAGCUAAAACUUCUCAGAUUUCUCUCUCUCUCUUUUUUUUUUUUUUCCUCAUGGCAUGAGACUAUCUUUCUCAAAGAAUGUUAGUGCCUUUUCCAUCCAGUCUUUUUUUUUUUUUUCCCCUAAAUUCACAGAGUUGCUAACAUUCAGAUUAAAUUUGGGCAAGGCCAGAAGUAGUGAAAUCACUGUAGCAUAACUCCAUUGCUGCUAUUUUCACAGGCGAAGACCCUCUCUGAGAUCAGCUGAAGUUGUAUGUUUUUCUGGCUCUGUGCAGAAGUAAUCUGGAAGGAGCUCCUUUGACUCAAACAUUUCAGCCAGACCUAAAUGCUUGAGUGAGAUUUCCACACUAGCAUAAACUAAAACACAUCUAAACAUCUGCUGCUCAGCAUGUCUGAGAGUUAUCUCUCCCUACCUUCAGCCGCCAGAUUCCUUGGUGCCAUAUAUAGAUUUGUAGUUCGCUCUCUGAUUUCCUUUCUUUUCCCCUCUGACAUGCCCUCCUGAUCAUCCUGUAAUGGACCUGAACCUCUGUUAAAUAUGUCUCUUAGCCACUGUAGGAAAAAGAUUUUUUCCUUCUUGAAUGAUGGAUCUGCUUGCUGUUUCCAGUGGAUUCCCUUGUUGACUACUGACAUGUGUUUUUUGGUACCACAACAAAUUCAGGACAGAGAUGCUUUGGCAGACUGGAGCUCAGUAAGGUGCUGAGCUACUUUUAAUAGUCAAUGAGGUGAGCAGAGCAUCACCAGAACUGAUGCUAAGGUGCCCUGUAGUACCCUUAGCUGUUUUCAUUGACUUGCCUCCUCAUGUAGAUGACUCUGGUAAAUACAGAGAGGUUUUUGGAAGGGAUGCAGACAGCUGAGGCAGCAAGCAGGGAGAGUUGAGAGCUUCAGAUGAGUCAUUUGCAAUACGGAAGAGAAAGUGACCCAAUAUCACAGUCUCAGCUCAGCAGCCCAAUUCAGGGGCUCUUGAGGUUGCACACAUAGACACUGUACAGUUCUGUGGGUGAUGUUUUUUUUUUUCUUUCUUUUUUUUUUCUUUCUUUAAAAAUGGGUGAGGGGCAGUUUCAUCUAGCAAAGACCUACAGGCAAGACCUGUAUCAGUCUGACAACAAUUCACCAUCAGAGAAAAGGCUGUUGUUUGCUGCAUGAGAUGUAUGUAGUUGUAAUUCUCUUCUUCCUCUAUCUCUUGCAGGUAGCAUAUGCUUCAGGAUGUAGCUUUGACACCUACAGUCUGCAUGAGUUGUGCUUAUAGUUAUACGCUUAUUAAAUGAUUGUGUGCAUUUGUACUCAGACUAUUAUAAAUCCAUUACUUCCCUGAGGCCAUAGGAAAUGGUUUUAAAAUGUGAGGCAUUUCUACAGGGAAUUGAAAGACAGCAAUACUAAAGCAAUGUACUUGGUUUGCACAGAUCAAUGUAGUGCAAUAACUGGGAUGAUAAAGCAGGCUUAAAACAUUACAAACGUGAUUGGAUGAAAGCUUAACAUGACAUUGAGUAAUUAUCACUACAAAAGUCUCCUAAAACACCUUAAGAAAAAAAACACCACCACAACAACAACAACAAAAACCUCAACAGCCUGGCAGUAAAUCAUAAACCAGAAAUGAUGGUGUUUGCACUCAGAAAUAAGGCCUGGGUAGUAUAACCACACAGUAGCAGUGAAACUUCAAAUUUGGCCUUCUCUUUUUUUGUAAGAUGGAGAUGGUAUAGGUCAAAGAGUUGGCAUGGGAGAUAUCAAGACAUUUUUGACAAUUCUGAAUUUUCCACCAAAAUAAAUACAUAAAUAAAUAAAUAAAUACAUGACCUUUUUCUUCAUCAGUAAUUUUGUUUCUCUGUCAGGGAAAAAAAGUGUUCCAAACCUGACACGUCCUAGUUGGGAAGUGAAUCAAGGAAUAAAUAAAUAAAUAAAUAAAUCAGUCUUAAAAUUGAGAUUCAAAAAUAAUAAUUAAAGUUCCUACCAGGUUCAGACGGUGGUGCUAGACUGAACUAAGGCAUAAAUGUUAUCCCAUGUGCACUGAGAUUUACAUGCAAAGUCAGGAUGAUGAGUUACUGCUUCAUCCCAACGCAGGCAGACAAGCUGUACAGGUAGUGAGACUUAUUUUUUUCAUGAAUUUGUAUUAAUCUGAAAAUAAAUACUAAUGAAGGGAAAUGUUUCCUUUUUUGAAGCACUGAGCCACUUAUAGGAAUAAUUUUGGGGGGGAGGAGUAGGAAGGGAGUUUAUAUCUCAGACUUCUGUCAUUAUCUAGCUUGAACAGAUGGAAGCUCAGCCACUUGUGAUUAAAUCAGUGAAAUGAAGAUGGACAUCACUGAAAUGGUGGUCAUUCAUUUGCUCAAUUCUAAAAAAUUAACAAUGAUUAGCUAUGGAUAUGGAUUUCCCGAAAAGGAGAAUGAGCAUCCUUUUGCAAUAACUGUAGUCAUUGAGAGAUGUGUUCCCACAUCACAUGCAUUCAUGGACAGGGAGCUUUGAUUCUCCAUUUCCAUUUGGGAUGCAUUCAGCAAUGACACCCUCAGCAAUGGGACCGUGAACAUGUCUGUAUGCUCAGCACAGACAGCAUGUUCCUGGUUUUGGAACAGAGCAGUUGCUGCUUAAAUCCACUUGGGAUCUAGAAGUAGUGGGUUUCAAGUCCCUAUUUUAGAGUGGGGUUUGAAACUCUCAGUCUGAAAGUGUCCAGUUCUCUUGGCUCUAAACUAAUGGCAGUUAUUUUGGGUCCUGUCUGAGAAAGUGGAUUAUAACUCCUCCCUCACAGGAUGUUGAAGAAUGCAGCUUCUUUGAAAAGUACAAAAACAUAUUAAAUAAUAAUAAUUAUAAUUUACCAAAAAAAAAAAAAAGUUAAAUCAAUAAAAUAUCACUCAUUAGAUCUUCAAUCAGCUUCUCAGUGCUCCAUUUUAAUUAAUUGCCAUCUGGUGCAGCCCCUUCUCUCCCAAAGCAACUGGGAAUAUUCUUCUAGAGCAGGCACACAGCAGUGCUACUCAUAUGCUAACCACUUCUGACUGGCGAUCCUAGGAAGCCUGAUUGUUUGAGGCAAAUCGUCUCCCCAGGGACUGCAUGAUUUAUUCCCUGCAUUUGGGUUGCAAGGUUUUUUGUAGGGAAAAAAAAAAUACUUCCAUGUCAUUUAUAAUGGACUUCACUCCAAUGAACGGACAUCUUCUUGCAUAAUAGGACUGCAGCUUAUCAAAUAGUAAAAUCUUGUCACUCUAAAUUGCUGGGAACAGGACCGAUCCAGCCAAUGUUGAUUCCUAUGUCCACUUUGUCAUGCCAUGAAUUUUUCAGUGGUUUGCGUGCGUGUAGAAGCUAUGGCUGUCAGCAGGGAAGAGCCUUAGCAUGCCACAGGGAAGCUGCAGAGACAAGUGGGUGUGAUUUCUCAGAUUCUGCUCCUUAAUAUGUUAUCCAGUUUUAAGCACUACCUAAUGUUCAUUAGGGAUGAUCAGAAAGCCAUAUGGCCUAACAAAUGCAAUACGUAGUUCAGCAUAUUGGCAGAAUGACUCUCUUAAUUCUGUCUCCUAUUCCACCCUCUGCCUGGUGGAGAGGAUAGUGAGGAGGCUGGUUGCACCACGUUGAAGAGAUGACAGACUUGAUAACUUUAGUAUGGAGCGUUUCCAGAGCCUAACAAUGAAUGGCACUAGCUUUCUAAGGGGAGAAAAAAAUAGGCACAGAUUUUCAAACACAUCAGCAGGUUGCAAAAAAUGUGCUGAUUAGCCAUUUGUAUAUUUGACUAGGGACAGUUGGCACUUGAGAGAUCUCAGAUUAUUUUCUAUUCCUGCAAUGUUUUCUCUGUGUGACCUAGGCAUACUAUUAAAGCUCCUCAUGCUUAGAUUCUCCCCCUUUCUCUCCGGGAUAGGAAGUGGGUCUUGGUAUACGUUUAUACAGAGAUGAAGCGAUCCUGCACAAAGCCUCUGAGCAUAUUUCACAACACUGUGGAAAUCUUGGGCCUCUUAUGGUUACUGGUGUUUUCUUGGCCAUCAAGAGUCAAUGAGGGCAGGUUGUCUAACACGGUGGAGGGGCAUCAGGACCAUCCCAUAGAGCUGGACUUGUCUGUCCUGGGGGCUGGCUUCUUCCCACAGCAAGGUUUGCCCAGCCACCCUCCUACUCUCACAUCCUGCUACCCAUCACAAGCUGUAGCCUUGAACCUCCGACGCAGUGUUUCUGUGACCCAAGGUGAUGGAGUGCCCACAAAACUUCUCCUAUGAUAUUUUGGAAAAUGUGAUUGUAAGAUGCAUUGGUAAAUUUGAAGAAUGAUUUUCUUUGAUACUUAAUCUUUCUGCUAUUAUUUUCUGCAUAAUCAAAAAAAAAAAAAAAAAAAAAAAAAAGCAGGAGAAUUUGGGGUGAUCCUUACUCUGCUGUAACCACUGUGUUCACCUCUCUUUUCAAGCCUGGGGUUUGAACGUGUGCUCUCCAUAGUCACCGACUGCCAGCAGGAAUGCACCUCUUAUGCUACUGCAUUUCCUCAGCAGUAGCACAGAUGAGUAAAUUUGGGCAAACGGCUUAUUUGAAACAGAGCCCACAAAAAGGAAUAAAAAUGACAUCAGCAACAGUAAACUACUGUUGCAAAUAACAGCAAGGAAGUCUUAAAGCAAAGGUUGGCUGUGUCUAUAUAGAGGCAAUACUUAGUGUCUGUGUGAUAUACAAGGCAUCUUAUCUCUUUGAGAGCAGGAGACUAUAAAAAUACAAUUGCCAGAACGAAAGAAAAUUGAAGCUGAUUGCCAUAGCAACAAAAGAAUUACAUUGAUGAAACAGAAGCACAUAAAAUCCUUGUAUGCUACAUUAAGGACAAAGCAAUCAAAAGUAAACAAGAGUGGAUUGGAAUUUGUUUGGCUGAAGCUGGAAAUGACAAAUGUAUCCAGCUGAUGGAGGAAGAAAUAAGCCUACAAGCAGGGAAGGGGCAGCCCCAUGGAGCCAGGGACUUAUCCUUGAUUUCCUCCAGGAUUGAGACCUGAGGAACACAAGACUGCAGGUGCAGGGACUUCCCAGUCUUUGAAGGCAGUCAGUGGAAGGAAAUUCCCAGUCAUGCGGUCAGUAACAUUCAAUGUCUUUCACCCGUACUUUUACACAGAUCUCCACGACUUUCUCCCUGAGCCUGCCUGGUUCCUUUCCUCUGCUGAAUUUCUCUCAGCUGGAUGAAACAAGCUGCUACUGUAAAAAGGAGUUUUCUUUUUCCAGCUGCUUCUCUUGAAGCAUCUUGCUCAGACAGGCAGUUACUUGGCCAUGAAAAAACAUGUUCCAUCCUCUAUGGCACUGCACUUUUGUCCUAUCAGGUCUAAGAGACAUGAUGGGACUGCAGACACUGCAGCAGAACCAGCAAAUUUGCAGAAUGCACUGGUGAAACCACAACUUCAGCCUAUACAGCCAUUCAGCAGUUUACUCAUGUGACAGGCUGGGAGGACUGAAUUUCCAGACCUCGUCUCCUCACGCAGCAUCAAAACUGUAGCGGCAGAUGCAGCACAGUGCUGUGCUUCCUCUUCAGGGUCUGAACCCCUUUUUGUGGAUGGAUUAUUGCUGACCUGCUGGGUAUUGUCACCUGCUGAAUCAUUCCCACAGACAGAUGAUUCUGCGUAUGACACAAGCAGCAUAAAGCUCAGUUACUGUUGUACAGUUCUUCCAGAAAAGGAAGGUGCUCCUAUUUGUGCCCCACACACAUGAGCUCUAGCAGGCCUAUCCUGAUUAUAUGGAGGAAAUACACAUGAUGUUACCCAUGUCAAAUCCAUCUGAAUUAAGUAUCUGUGCUACAAAGCUUGGGGCUUGGUCUGGAAUAAUAAUAAUAAUAAAAUGUUUUUAAAUGGAA